AAAACGACUCUCAGCAAACGGAUAUCUUGGCUCUUGCAACGAUGAAGAACGCAA
rnacentral:rRNA from 1 species